CCUGGAGGAACAACAUUCAGGCUGAUGAUGAUGAUGGGGUCGUCAUCCUGAUUCGCUCUCUUUUUGCGGUUCAUUUUUGUCUCAACACGACACUCGUAACUUCCACGGUCAUCAAGCGUCACAUCCUUCAGUAUCAACGCCACGUCUCCAUCCUUCAUCUGUCUGUCCUGUAGCUCCACUCGGUUCUUAAACGAUGGAUGCUGGUUCUCUAGAUCAAACCGCUCAUCCCGGUACAAAAAUUCAGCUGUGAUGUUUACGAGGUCUACAGGACAAAAGAGACAACUGAAACACUCACCUGCAGCAGCAGUCAGGGAGGAGUGGAGAAACAACAAAGC
ensembl:lncRNA